UACAGAGGGUGCAAGCGUUGUUCGGAAUUACUGGGCGUAAAGCGCGUGUAGGCGGCUCGGAUAGUCGGGUGUGAAAGCCCUGGGCUCAACCCAGGAAGUGCACUCGAUACUGCCGAGCUGGAGUCCCGGAGAGGAUGGCGGAAUUCUCGGUGUAGAGGUGAAAUUCGUAGAUAUCGAGAGGAACACCUGUGGCGAAGGCGGCCUUCUGGACGGUGACUGACGCUGAGACGCGAAAGCGUGGGGAGCAAACAGG
rnacentral:rRNA from 1 species